rnacentral:lncRNA from 1 species
GGUUUAGAGUUAAAGAGUGGGGUUUAGGAUUUAGGGUUUAGGGUUUAGGGUUUAGAGUUUAGAGUUUAGGGUUUAGAUUUUAGGGUUUAGGGUUUAGGGUUUAGGGUUUAGAGUUUAGGGUUUAAGGUUUAGAGUUUAGGGUUUAGGGUUUGGAGUUUAGGGUUUAGGGUUUAGGGUUUAGAGUUGAGAAAUGAGGUUUUGGGGAUAAGAUUGCAAAUUUUGAAAAAUAAAAAAAUUAAAAUUUUCAAAUUAUAAACUUAAAAUGGUGCUAUUUUGGUCAUUUUAAUUUUUGAGUGUUAUUUUUGUGAUAUAAACUUAGAAAGAUGUUAUUUU